rnacentral:lncRNA from 1 species
AUGAUACCGUCUAGGCAGUUGCCUCUUAGAGCAAAAGCUGCUUUCAGAUAUCCUGGGGGGGGGGGGGGUAGAUGGGAGGAAGGGCACUGCUUUUGGCUGGAGGGGGUUGAGGUUUUAAGGAGAAGGCAGUCUGCCCUCUGUGUGCACUCCAUCACAAUUAGUAUGAAGAGUCAAUCAGCUAUGGGACCUUCACAAUAUACGCAUUGUUCAUCUAGAAACCCCAUGAAGCUGUAACCUGAACCCCUUGUCCUGAGGCUACUGAAGGCGGCUCCAUCCAAUGGUGUCUGUGGACCCCAGUGGAGAGGUGAGUAAAGAGUUAUUAAGCCACUUGAAAUUGCUUUUAGUGCACUGAAAAGUGGCUGGGCCAUUUCAGGCCAUAACAGUGUGGCGGCGUGCCCGACUGCCUACGUCAAGCAGUGUUUAUAAAUUAGAAAUUACCAGCCAUUUGGUUCCUUGCUGAUCAGUCUGAGUCCUGGAAGACCGUGCCGACGUGCCUGGGGCAGAGUUAUUACUGGACCAAACAAAGCAUAGCUCUUGGUUAAUCAGUCAUGAUUUGUCUAUCUGGUGGUGUUUUUGGAAGAGAUUUGAAAGUGUACAUCUCUUUAAUUGCAGUGCUAUGUGGCUAAUUAUUCCAACUAAAAGCAAACAUGAAAAUAGUUCUUUGAAAGUUCUGUUGCCAAGCACAGAAACUGACCAUAAAAUUCACAGACAAAGACAGUCCCAUGUGAUUAUGUCUAGAUAUAUUUCACCCAUCUGGUCACAAAAGGCUUGUUGACUAAGUGUCAGGCAUGCAGCAUGAUCGGACGAGGCUCACCCCCCAUUUUUUAAUUGAGUCAUUGCUAAGUACCUGCAACUAUUUUAAGCCCUUUAUAUAUAUAAACAGAUUUAAUCUUCACAACAACCCUAGGGGGAAGGUGUGGCUAAUGAUCCCAUUUUACAGUUGAAAAAACUGAGGCUCGGAGAAUUAAGCAAGUUUUCCAGAGUUCCUGCAUCUAGCAAA